rnacentral:rRNA from 1 species
UAGGAAUCUACCUAGUAGAAGGGGAUAGCCCGAGGAAACUCGGAUUAAUACCGUAUACCUCCUUAGGGAGAAAGAGGGCCUCUCUUGAUGCUCUCGCUACUAGAUGAGCCUGCGUAAGAUUAGCUUGUUGGUGAGGUAAUGGCUCACCAAGGCUACGAUCUUUAGCUGGUCUGAGAGGACGAUCAGCCACAUUGGGACUGAGACACGGCCCAGACUCCUACGGGAGGCAGCAGUGGGGAAUAUUGGACAAUGGGCGCAAGCCUGAUCCAGCCAUACCGCGUGUGUGAAGAAGGCCUUCGGGUUGUAAAGCACUUUAAGCAGGGAGAAAAAGUUAUAAGUUAAUACCUUAUAUCCGUGAUGUUACCUGCAGAAUAAGCACCGGCUAAUUCCGUGCCAGCAGCCGCGGUAAUACGGAAGGUGCAAGCGUUAAUCGGAAUUACUGGGCGUAAAGCGCGCGUAGGUGGUUUGUUAAGUUGGAUGUGAAAGCCCUGGGCUCAACCUAGGAACUGCAUCCAAAACUAACUCACUGGAGUACGAUAGAGGGAGGUAGAAUUCAUAGUGUAGCGGUGGAAUGCGUAGAUAUUAUGAAGAAUACCGGUGGCGAAGGCGGCCUCCUGGAUCUGUACUGACACUGAGGUGCGAAAGCGUGGGUAGCGAACAGGAUUAGAUACCCUGGUAGUCCACGCCGUAAACGAUGACAACUAGCUGUUGGG